GCGCUCUGUGAGACGAGACACAAGAAACUCUUCACCACACGGAGGGCCGCACCAUAAGGACCCAUUCCAGACUUAAACCGACUGAAGCUGAGAGCAAGCCACUGCAUUCUGAGACGUCACAGCCUUAACACCAUCGUGCCAAACGCCCUGUCACCCGGAACCCGUUAAGAUCAAACCGAAGCACUGGUGGCACAUGAACGUUCCCGGAACAGGGAUGGAACCCGCGCUGCUGCAGUGACAAUGCCAGCUCCUUAACCCACUGCACCACCAGGAUCUGGUUUCUUUCUUCUUCCUCUUCAACCCUGGACUCCAAGUCAUGGAGGAUCUCCUCU